rnacentral:lncRNA from 1 species
CUCUGGAGGUUCUUGUUAUGUGUGCCCAUAGAUUUUAACCUCUACUGAAGGCAGCACAUCAUGGUGGGUCCUGAGACCAACAGGAGGGGAAGGCUUGAAUAUGCUUGGCCCAGGGAGUGGCAUCAUUAGAAGAGGUGACCUUGUUGGAGAAAGUGCGUCACUGUGGGGGUUGGCUUUGAGACGGUCCUCCUAGCUAUCUGGAAGCCUGUCUUCUCCUGUUUGCCUUUGGAACAAGAUGUAGAACUAUGCCAGUGCUGUGUCUUCCUGCAUAUGCCAUGCUUCCUGCUAUGAUGAUAAUGGACUAAACCUCUGAUUCUGUAAGCCAGUCCCAGUUUCAUGUUUGCCUUUAUAAGAGUCGAUGUGGUCCUGGUGUCUCUUCACAGCAAUAAAAACCCUAACCAAGACAGAAGUGUCUUUCACAUCUCCAGCAGAUGAACGACAGAAAAGACAGGUGAACCACAUUUGCUGCUUUUAGACAGAUUCCUGGAAUUCUGUGUUUGUCCUGGGGGUAGUUCUGUUUAGUGGACAUGGUCUAUUACAUCUAAACUUGGUUUUAUUUCUCGAUUCUUUGCAGCUGUGACCAUCCAUGGCUACUUCAAGUUCUAAUUAUCAGAUUUUAUCAACAUCUGGUAAGAAAUAGAGCAUUGCUUAUUUUGGGGUGACUUCUCUGUGCUUGCUGUGUAGCCAGGGAUUUCCCCAGCCACUUUCACAGUUCCUCUUGUUUCACACACUUUACACUAGGUGGCAGUGGUUCCCUACUAAUAACUCAGGGACAACCUCUGGUUGCAGAGACAGCUCACUUCAGAGGUUUCUAGAAAGGGUUAAAUGCCACCUUGUAGCUAGGAAGGUAGGCCAAUGAAUUGCAGUGUGAAUUUUCCAGUAGGAACCUUCCACUGAUUGUUAAGGUCCUCAGGGGGCACAGACAGCACUCCACAUACAAACCUAUUGUUUUUCUGAGAGAAGGUAGUAGCUCUGAUCCCCAAACACAAUGUAGUAACCCAA